AUUGAACGCUGGCGGCAGGCCUAACACAUGCCAGUCGAGCGGAGCAGCGGACGGGUGAGUAAUGCCUAGGAAUCUGCCUGGUAGUGGGGGAUAACGUCCGGAAACGGGCGCUAAUACCGCAUACUAUCAGAUGAGACUAGGGCGGAUUAGCUAGUUGGUGGGGUAAAGGCCUACCAAGGCGGCGAUCCGUAACUGGUCUGAGAGGAUGAUCAGUCACCCUGUAACUGAGACACGGUCCAGACUCCUACGGGAGGCAGCAGUGGGGAAUAUUUGACAAUUGGCGAAAGCCUGAUCCAGCCAUGCCGCGUGUAUGAAGAAGGUCUUCGGAUUGUAAAGCACGUGCAGCGGGGAGGCGUUACCCGCAGAAGAAGCACCGGCUAACUCCGUGCCAGCCGCCGCGGUAAUUC
rnacentral:rRNA from 1 species